rnacentral:rRNA from 1 species
UACGUAGGGUGCGAGCGUUGUCCGGAAUUAUUGGGCGUAAAGGGCUCGUAGGCGGUUUGUCGCGUCGGGAGUGAAAACCUUGGGCUUAACUCAGGGCUUGCUUUCGAUACGGGCAGACUAGAGGUAUGCAGGGGAGAACGGAAUUCCUGGUGUAGCGGUGAAAUGCGCAGAUAUCAGGAGGAACACCGGUGGCGAAGGCGGGUCUCUGGGCCGAUACUGACGCUGAGGAGCGAAAGCGUGGGGAGCAAACAGG